AUACUACUCCCUCCGUCUGAAAAUACUUGCCAUCAAAAUGAAUAAAAAAAGAUAUAUCUAGAAUUAAAAUACAUCUAGACAUAUCUUUUUUUUUGAUGAGAAGUAUUUUCGGACGGAAGGAGUAGUAA
rfam:Triticum urartu cultivar G1812 contig481721, whole genome shotgun sequence.